rnacentral:pre_miRNA from 1 species
CUUGUACUCCCUCCAUCCAAAAAUACUUGUCAUUGAAAUGGAUGUAUCUAGAUGUAUUUUAGUUCUAGACACAUCCAUUUUGAUGACAAGUAAUUCCAGACGGAGGGAGUACUUG